rnacentral:rRNA from 1 species
CAGCUCAAAUUUGAAAUCUGGCUCCGCCCGAGUUGUAAUUUGGAGAGGAUGCUUCUGGGCAGCGGCCGGUCUAAGUUCCUUGGAACAGGACGUCACAGAGGGUGAGAAUCCCGUACGUGAUCGGCGCGCACCCUCCACGUAGCUCCUUCGACGAGUCGAGUUGUUUGGGAAUGCAGCUCUAAAUGGGAGGUAAAUUUCUUCUAAAGCUAAAUACCGGCCAGAGACCGAUAGCGCACAAGUAGAGUGAUCGAAAGAUGAAAAGCACUUUGGAAAGAGAGUUAAAAAGCACGUGAAAUUGUUGAAAGGGAAGCGCUCCCAAUCAGACCUGUCGGCGGCGUUCCGCCGGUCUUCUGACCGGUCUACUCGUCGUCCGCAGGCCAACAUCGUCUGGUGCCGCUGGAUAAGCCGUCGGGAAUGUAGCUCCUCGGAGUAUUAUAGCCCGUCGGGAUACGGCGCGCGCCGGGCGAGGUCCGCGCUUCGGCAAGGAUGUUGGCGUAAUGGUUGGCAGCGGCCCGUCUUGAAACACGGACCAAGGAGUCUAACAUCUAUGCGAGUGUUCGGGUGUCAAACCCCUACGCGCAAUGAAAGUGAACGGAGGUGGGAACCGCAAGGUGCACCAUCGACCGAUCCUGAUGUCCUCGGAUGGAUUUGAGUAAGAGCAUAGCUGUUGGGACCCGAAAGAUGGUGAACUAUGCCUGAAUAGGGUGAAGCCAGAGGAAACUCUGGUGGAGGCUCGCAGCGGUUCUGACGUGCAAAUCGAUCGUCAAAUUUGGGUAUAGGGGCGAAAGACUAAUCGAACCAUCGACCGGCAGGUCGAAUUGCUAGGUGGUUGAGAGGGCGGCGCGCCCUAGUCGCCGGCCGCACGGCCGACGGCGACACUAUCAAAUUGCGGGGAGGCCCCGGAAUGCCAUCCGCUACCGCGCGGCCGUUCGCGAGACGGCCGCGGCCCAAGGGGGGUACAUGUACCCCCGGGCGAGGGUAACAACGCGGUGGACAUCGGGGUGACCUGCAGCCAACUCCCGGCCCCGGGUGGGCUCGGA